rnacentral:rRNA from 2 species
GGGUUGUGAGGUUAAGCGACUAAGCGUACACGGUGGAUGCCCUGGCAGUCAGAGGCGAUGAAGGACGUGCUAAUCUGCGAAAAGCGUCGGUAAGGUGAUAUGAACCGUUAUAACCGGCGAUGUCCGAAUGGGGAAACCCAGUGCAAUUCGUUGCACUAUCGUUAACUGAAUACAUAGGUUAACGAGGCGAACCGGGGGAACUGAAACAUCUAAGUACCCCGAGGAAAAGAAAUCAACCGAGAUUCCCCCAGUAGCGGCGAGCGAACGGGGAGCAGCCCAGAGUCUGAAUCAGCUUGUGUGUUAGUGGAACGGUCUGGAAAGUCCGACGGUACAGGGUGAUAGUCCCGUACACCAAAAUGCACAGGCUGUGAACUCGAAGAGUAGGGCGGGACACGUGGUAUCCUGUCUGAAUAUGGGGGGACCAUCCUCCAAGGCUAAAUACUCCUGACUGACCGAUAGUGAACCAGUACCGUGAGGGAAAGGCGAAAAGAACCCCGGCGAGGGGAGUGAAAAAGAACCUGAAACCGUGUACGUACAAGCAGUGGGAGCACCUUCGGGUGUGACUGCGUACCUUUUGUAUAAUGGGUCAGCGACUUAUAUUCUGUAGCAAGGUUAACCGUAUAGGGGAGCCGCAGGGAAACCGAGUCUUAACUGGGCGUUAAGUUGCAGGGUAUAGACCCGAAACCCGGUGAUCUAGCCAUGGGCAGGUUGAAGGUUGGGUAACACUAACUGGAGGACCGAACCGACUAAUGUUGAAAAAUUAGCGGAUGACUUGUGGCUGGGGGUGAAAGGCCAAUCAAACCGGGAGAUAGCUGGUUCUCCCCGAAAGCUAUUUAGGUAGCGCCUCGUGAACUCAUCUUCGGGGGUAGAGCACUGUUUCGGCUAGGGGGUCAUCCCGACUUACCAACCCGAUGCAAACUACGAAUACCGAAGAAUGUUAUCACGGGAGACACACGGCGGGUGCUAACGUCCGUCGUGAAGAGGGAAACAACCCAGACCGCCAGCUAAGGUCCCAAAGUCAUGGUUAAGUGGGAAACGAUGUGGGAAGGCACAGACAGCCAGGAUGUUGGCUUAGAAGCAGCCAUCAUUUAAAGAAAGCGUAAUAGCUCACUGGUCGAGUCGGCCUGCGCGGAAGAUGUAACGGGGCUAAACCAUGCACCGAAGCUGCGGCAGCGACACUAUGUGUUGUUGGGUAGGGGAGCGUUCUGUAAGCCUGCGAAGGUGACCUGUGAGGGUUGCUGGAGGUAUCAGAAGUGCGAAUGCUGACAUAAGUAACGAUAAAGCGGGUGAAAAGCCCGCUCGCCGGAAGACCAAGGGUUCCUGUCCAACGUUAAUCGGGGCAGGGUGAGUCGACCCCUAAGGCGAGGCCGAAAGGCGUAGUCGAUGGGAAACAGGUUAAUAUUCCUGUACUUGGUGUUACUGCGAAGGGGGACGGAGAAGGCUAUGUUAGCCGGGCGACGGUUGUCCCGGUUUAAGCAUGUAGGCUGGUUAUCCAGGCAAAUCCGGAUAAUCAAGGCUGAGGUGUGAUGACGAGGCACUACGGUGCUGAAGUAACAAAUGCCCUGCUUCCAGGAAAAGCCUCUAAGCAUCAGGUAACAUCAAAUCGUACCCCAAACCGACACAGGUGGUCAGGUAGAGAAUACCAAGGCGCUUGAGAGAACUCGGGUGAAGGAACUAGGCAAAAUGGUGCCGUAACUUCGGGAGAAGGCACGCUGGUGUGUAGGUGAAGUCCCUGCGGAUGGAGCUGAGACCAGUCGAAGAUACCAGCUGGCUGCAACUGUUUAUUAAAAACACAGCACUGUGCAAACACGAAAGUGGACGUAUACGGUGUGACGCCUGCCCGGUGCCGGAAGGUUAAUUGAUGGGGUUAUCCGUAAGGAGAAGCUCUUGAUCGAAGCCCCGGUAAACGGCGGCCGUAACUAUAACGGUCCUAAGGUAGCGAAAUUCCUUGUCGGGUAAGUUCCGACCUGCACGAAUGGCGUAAUGAUGGCCAGGCUGUCUCCACCCGAGACUCAGUGAAAUUGAACUCGCUGUGAAGAUGCAGUGUACCCGCGGCAAGACGGAAAGACCCCGUGAACCUUUACUAUAGCUUGACACUGAACAUUGAGCCUUGAUGUGUAGGAUAGGUGGGAGGCUUUGAAGCGUGGACGCCAGUCUGCGUGGAGCCAACCUUGAAAUACCACCCUUUAAUGUUUGAUGUUCUAACGUGGGCCCCUGACCGGGGUUGCGGACAGUGUCUGGUGGGUAGUUUGACUGGGGCGGUCUCCUCCCAAAGCGUAACGGAGGAGCACGAAGGUUAGCUAAUCCUGGUCGGACAUCAGGAGGUUAGUGCAAUGGCAUAAGCUAGCUUGACUGCGAGCGUGACGGCGCGAGCAGGUGCGAAAGCAGGUCAUAGUGAUCCGGUGGUUCUGAAUGGAAGGGCCAUCGCUCAACGGAUAAAAGGUACUCCGGGGAUAACAGGCUGAUACCGCCCAAGAGUUCAUAUCGACGGCGGUGUUUGGCACCUCGAUGUCGGCUCAUCACAUCCUGGGGCUGAAGUAGGUCCCAAGGGUAUGGCUGUUCGCCAUUUAAAGUGGUACGCGAGCUGGGUUUAGAACGUCGUGAGACAGUUCGGUCCCUAUCUGCCGUGGGCGCUGGAGAAUUGAGGGGGGCUGCUCCUAGUACGAGAGGACCGGAGUGGACGCAUCACUGGUGUUCGGGUUGUCAUGCCAAUGGCACUGCCCGGUAGCUAAAUGCGGAAGAGAUAAGUGCUGAAAGCAUCUAAGCACGAAACUUGCCCCGAGAUGAGUUCUCCCUGAGACUUUAAGUCUCCUGAAGGAACGUUGAAGACGACGACGUUGAUAGGCCGGGUGUGUAAGCGCAGCGAUGCGUUGAGCUAACCGGUACUAAUGAACCGUGAGGCUUAACCUUACAACGCCGAAG